rnacentral:lncRNA from 1 species
AGGAAGUGUCGGAAUUGGCUUGUUUCCAGUGGGUAAUAGGGAGUGCUUGAAGAAUAUCUCAUUUGCUCACCCACAUUGGAGAACUCCAAGUAAUGAGUUUGGACUUUGGUGCUCCCAAGUAGCUGACGGUUGUGUAGAGAAAUUUUCCAGCCAUCGGAAAACUCCAAACCACCGGUCAAUAAUCAUACCUACAGAUCAAGCACAGCAAGGGGAGUAACUUUGUUCCUUUG